UUGUGAACAGCACAUGUUGAAACACAAAGUGUAUGUGCAAUAGCAGGAACAUUCUGCUUUCACACAAUUUUUGAGUGAUGUUUGGAUGUCAUUAUUUUUACUAUGCUAACUCUUUAACAAGACAAACUUCCAGAGAUUUCUCAUGAGUCAUCAGGAAGUAGCCACUGUCUUCUCGAGUAUCUCCUCAAUCGUCUCCAGAACAACUCAUGUCAUGUCAAGCUAAAGGUGCUCAAGAUCUUGCUGCACAUGUGUAGCCAUGGCUCUUCACACUUCCUUCUGCAGCUCAAGAGGAAUUCAUCCUUCAUCCAGGAAGCCACAGGAGUGAAAUGUACAGUGCCAGGGUUAAGUGGGGAUGCAAUCUCCAUAGGAUGGAAGAGCUUCUGUAGAGGGUUCUCUUUGGGCAUACUGACACAGGUAUGUGGCCUAUUGACUGCUUUAGUAUUGCUGUUAGUAUUUCAUUCCUGAGAGCCGGUUUGGGCAGUGAUUAAGAAUACUGGGAUGGUGUGAUAAAUGGGAGUCCCUCCAUUUAUCAGGGCCUUUUUCCCUGUGGGGGGGGGGAGUACUGUAAGAUAUGAGGAGUGGUGUGAGGACAACCAGCCGAUCAGGUGGCAGUUAGAAAAGAGCCUCCUCAAGUAGUUGAGAGUAAGAAAGCCUGAGGGAAAGAAAAGCCUCACCUGUUGGCCCUUUUUCUGAGUCAGAGAUCCAGGUUUGACUAUGUUUGGCUGAAAUGAUUAUUAUUUUGUAACUUAACUUUUAAGUUUGUGCCUGGAGGACCAGAUGUCCUCCAUGUCUUUCUCUUUAAUGUUCUUUAGCAAUAGCAAGUACAUUUCUAUACUGCUUCUCAGUGCACAAGCACUCCCGAAGCGGUUUACAAUGUGUAAGCUAAUUGCCCCCAACAAGCUGGGUACUCAUUUUAGUGACCUCGGAAGGAUGCCAGGCGAAGUCAAGCCUGGGCCCAUGGCUAGUAUUGAACUCACAACUUUGUGGUUUUUGAGUGAGUGGUUGCCGUACAGGCUGUGCCACCAGGGUUCUUCGUGCUACCAGAGCUACUUCAUAAUAAACCUUUUUCUUCAGUACUCUGCCUCUUUCUGCAUUCCUUUUAAUAGCCUUAGCUCGGCUAGUGUCUGUUCUCAUUGUAGGUUACCAGUAGAAGGCCCCAGCAAUGUCCCAAUGCAUUUGCUGGGGUGUGACAAGUUAAAUCUUUGGGUGGAGACAGCAACUUGUUUUUUUAAAGGUGGUCUCAAGGAGUCCCAUCCAGCUCAGAGGAGUGGAGUGGGAUCAUAGAGAACCUUCCCAUAUUGGCAUUUGAUUCCUCUGCUUCUGUCUUAUUCCCUGGGGAGGAAUUUAAGACAGGAUAGGAAGAAGAGAAAACCAUCACAAAUGGGACUUGAGAGACCCAGAUGCUAGUCCUCAUUGUCCUAAGCUUUACUUUGGUCUGUUAGUAGUUUCAAGUUUUAACACAGGGUUAUAGGGGACCCAACCUAUCUUCUGUCAUUCUCAUAGAUAUUGAUCUACCCAUUCCACUUCAACUCUGUGCUGCCUAGGGGCUGACAUUAGUGGUUUGAUUGGAAGAAAAUAAUAAUGUCUUUCACUACUGAUUGCUUGCAAUUAGGGAGGGCCUCAGGUUUCUGCUUUCACCUUCUCGGCCAAAGAGUGUUGGUGCCUUACAAAACUAUAUAUAACUACCAGGAUUCUAUAGAAUGUAGCCACGGAAGUUAAACUGGUGGCAAACUGAAUUAUUUUUGCAGUGUAGGUGCACUCUUAGUCUACCUUACCUCACAGAGUUGUUGUGAGGCUGAAGAGGAGAGGAGGACAAUAAAUGCUACUUUGACUGGAGGAAAGCAGGGAGUGUAAAUGGAAUAGUGAACAAAAACAUUACUUUCCUUCUGCCCAUGAAGAAGCUUAUGGCAAUGGAGA